CUUACAGAAGACAAAAGUUCAUCAUUGUAUUGAGCAACUGGCUCGCCAUUGGUCACUGCUGCAGCAAAAUAAAUCCAAAUUAAGAUUAGCCUACGAUAAAACAGGCACAUUGCUUCACCACAUCGGUCAAGCAAGCUCGGUACCUGUGAGGAGUCAGACAUGAAAACUGCAGUUUUUCUAACGUUGGCCUUUAUUUCUGUAACUUCGGGUCAGGAUGGCAAUACAACAGCUGGAGUCGUAUCGGAGGCAACGAGAACUGCAAACACCAGAGUGACAA